CUUGGUCAUUUAGAGGAAGUAAAAGUCGUAACAAGGUUUCCGUAGGUGAACCUGCGGAAGGAUCAUUAAAGAACGCCCCGUUUUUUGAAAUGGGUAAUUCCCAAACCGUGUCUAUAUAUACCUUUGUUGCUUUGGCAGGUCGCCUUCUAGGCGUCGGCUCCGACUGACUGCGCCUGCCAGAGGACCCAAACUCGUUUUGUUUAGUGUCGUCUGAGUACUAUAUAAUAGUUAAAACUUUCAACAACGGAUCUCUUGGUUCUGGCAUCGAUGAAGAACGCAGCGAAAUGCGAUAAGUAAUGUGAAUUGCAGAAUUCAGUGAAUCAUCGAAUCUUUGAACGCACAUUGCGCCCCUUGGUAUUCCGAGGGGCAUGCCUGUUCGAGCGUCAUUAUAACCACUCAAGCCUCGGCUUGGUAUUGGGGUUCGCGGUUUCGCGGCCCUUAAAAUCAGUGGCGGUGCCGUCUGUCUCUAGGCGUAGUAAUUCUCUCGCUAUAGGGUCCAGGUGGUUACUUGUCAGAAUCCCCCACUUUUAUAGGUUGACCUCGGAUCAGGUAGGGAUACCCGCUGAACUUAAGCAUAUCAAUAAGCGGAGGA
rnacentral:rRNA from 1 species